UACGGGGGGGGCAAGCGUUGUUCGGAAUUACUGGGCGUAAAGGGCGCGUAGGCGGUUCUUUAAGUCAGGCGUGAAAGCCCCGGGCUCAACCUGGGAACGGCGCGCGAGACGGGGGGGCUGGAGUUCGGGAGAGGAGCGUGGAAUUCCCAGUGUAGAGGUGAAAUUCGUAGAUAUUGGGAAGAACACCGGUGGCGAAGGCGGCGCUCUGGACCGAGACUGACGCUGAGGCGCGAAAGCGUGGGGAGCAAACAGG
rnacentral:rRNA from 1 species